GUACUCUCACACUCUCCAAUUUGGGGAGCGGUGGACUUGGGUGCUUGCUGCUUUUGUUGUGGCUCACCUCAAAUGUGUCAGUGCAUCUCUUGAUUGGACAUAGUACGGCGUGAUAAGUGUCUUCGCCGGCACCUUGUAAAAGGGUGGCCAAUUGGGAGCUCUGUGCUUUCAAACUGUCUUUGGACAAUCUCUGACA
rnacentral:misc_RNA from 1 species